AGAGUUUGAUCCUGGCUCAGAAUGAACGCUGGCGGCGUGCUUAACACAUGCAAGUCGAACGAGAAAGGGACUGCUUGCAGUCUCAAGUAGAGUGGCGCACGGGUGAGUAACACGUAGAUAAUCUACCUUCGAAUUUGGGAUAACCGCCUGAAAGGGCGGCUAAUACCGGAUAAAGUUUAUUGACACAAGUUGAUAGAUGAAAGGCAGCCUAUUCAUGAAAGCUGUUGUUUGGAGAUGAGUUUGCGGACCAUUAGCUUGUUGGUGGGGUAAAGGCCUACCAAGGCUGUGAUGGUUAGCUGGUCUGAGAGGAUGAUCAGUCACACCGGAACUGGAACACGGUCCAGACUCCUACGGGAGGCAGCAGUGAGGGAUUUUGCGCAAUGGGGUAACCCCUGACGCAGCAACGCCGCGCGAGUGAAGAAGGCCUUUGGGUCGUAAAGCUCUGUCAACUGGGAAGAAGUUACUGUAUAUUAACAGUGUAUAGUAUUGACGGUACCAGUGGAGGAAGCAUCGGCUAACUCCGUGCCAGCAGCCGCGGUAACACGGGGGAUGCAAGCGUUAUUCGGAAUUAUUGGGCGUAAAGUGCGCGCAGGCGGUAUUGUCGGUCAGAUGUGAAAGCCCGGGGCUCAACCCCGGACGUGCAUUUGAAACAGCAAUACUUGAGUACGGGAGAGGAAAGCGGAAUUCCUGGUGUAGAGGUGAAAUUCGUAGAUAUCAGGAGGAACACCGAUGGCGAAGGCAGCUUUCUGGGCCGAUACUGACGCUGAGGCGCGAAGGCGUGGGUAGCGAACAGGAUUAGAUACCCUGGUAGUCCACGCAGUAAACGAUGUUCACUAGGUGUAGCGGGUAUUAAAACCUGCUG
rnacentral:rRNA from 1 species